ACCAAACAUGUCUUUUUUCAUUCCAUCAGAAUGAUCCAUUCCAUUCCACCUUCUAUUCCUUCAUACCAAACGCUACCUAACAUCACAAAUCUCUCAAAUUGAAAGGGAAAAAGUUGAAGGUUUAUCAAUGCAUGAGUUAGGAAUGUUCAUCCCUAAGUGAAAUUAACAUCAAGCACAAAGAAGGAAGAAGGCGCAAGUCACUCGAAGGCAAAAGCAUCUCAAGAUCGCGGUAAAUCCCUUGCUUGAUUGCGGCGCACCCGGACCGAACACACGCACGAAAUGUCGACCUUAUGCGCUUCCGGUCCAAGUUGUUUGUUUUGAUGGGUUAACUUACCAUUUUGUCUAGUAAAUGUUAUUUAGUAAGUGUCUAGUUUGUUAGUAAGAAGUUUGGAUACUAAACUUUUGUUUAGUUUGUACAAAAUGUUCAUGGCGAACCAUAUAUGGACUUAACUUUUGUUA